AUCUUCUCGGUGCUUUUUAUUUUUCUUUUCAGCAAAUCUUGCCAAUGUCCUAGUUCAGAAACCACGCAAAUACUUCCAUAGUUUGUAGCUGCAUCUUAUUAUGUCCGAUAGAGUACUAGUAGUAACAGUAAUAUGCUCUGGUAAAGAAAAUAGAAUUCUUUAGCAUUUUCUGUUUUUACUCGUCAGUUUCCUGCUUAUAUUUCGAACCAUUGGAUAUACUAUCUCUUCAUCUCAUACUUUUAUCAGAAUAUCAUGUGUGUCCACAGUGAGUUGAAGGGUUAAAUGUCCCUGUUAUUAGUUGUUAGUAGUUAAUCUUUCAGAAUUUGUCAUCAUUUUCAUAAUUGAUUGUUCUAUUACAUAGUUUUCAAAGUUAUCAUCACCGUAUAUGUUUUUCAAAUUUUUUUUUUGGGAAAAAUCUGGAGCUGAAAGGUUCUAAUUUGAAGCAUUGAAAAUUGAUGUCAAUCUGAUGUUGGCAAUGCUAUCUUUGCAGAAAAUCACUGGAAGCUAUUCAAGGAUGAUUUUGUCUCCCAUUCGCUGAUGGAAAAUUGAGGAAGAUACGGAGUGGAGGGAGGGAAAUUUUCUACAGCCAUUCUGUUGUCAGUGGUGUUAAUCUAGAGUCUUUAUUUGCAAUGCUGAAUUUAGUGAAGGGAGGAUAACACUAGGGACCAGUCACGUUUUUCACAAAGGAAACAGGAAAAAUUUAGAAAUUACACAUUGUUUUCCAAUUUUUUGAUGUAUUCAACCAUAUUUCUAGGUGAUGGAGGUAAAGAGUGGAUCUUGACCUCUUAGCCGAGGAAAUAAUUAGCCUUGGUUUCCUCUAGUUGUAUAGUUGUGUUUUUCUUCCUUGCUUACACAUUUACCCUUCUCAUACUACCCACUCCAUUUCUAGAACUUGAUAACUAAAGAGUUCACAGAUAUUCGCCGUUCAUCUUCUUUGUAUCAUUCCAUGUUUGUCCUGUUGUACACUGACAACUGAUUUUAUGAAAAUGGAUGGCAAGUGACCAUCGUGGGCGAUGGUUCCAUGUUUGUCCUGUUGUACAUUGACAACUGAUUUUAUGAAAAUGGAUGGCAAGUGACCAUCGUGCGCGAUGGAGGGCCACGGAUUAAUUUCAUGAUGA